rnacentral:rRNA from 1 species
ACGGAAGGCAGCAGUAGGGAAUCUUCGGCAAUGGGGGCAACCCUGACCGAGCAACGCCGCGUGAGUGAAGAAGGUUUUCGGAUCGUAAAGCUCUGUUGUAAGAGAAGAACGUGUGUGAGAGUGGAAAGUUCACACAGUGACGGUAACUUACCAGAAAGGGACGGCUAACUACGUGCCAGCAGCCGCGGUAAUACGUAGGUCCCGAGCGUUGUCCGGAUUUAUUGGGCGUAAAGCGAGCGCAGGCGGUUUAAUAAGUCUGAAGUUAAAGGCAGUGGCUUAACCACUGUUCGCUUUGGAAACUGUUAGACUUGAGUGCAGAAGGGGAGAGUGGAAUUCCAUGUGUAGCGGUGAAAUGCGUAGAUAUGGAGGAACACCGGUGGCGAAAGCGGCUCUUUGGUCUGUAACUGGCGCUGAGGCUCGAAAGCGUGGGGAGCAAACAGGAUUAGAUACCCUGGUA